rnacentral:rRNA from 1 species
UUGAAUAAGUUUGGUUAGGUUGUUGCUGGCUCUUAGGAGUAUGUGCACGCCUACGCCAUCUUUAACCACUGUGCACUUUGUGUAGAUUUGGGUGCUUGAGAAUUGCUUAGGCUGUUCUCGUACCUGGGUCUAUGUUUUUAUACACUCUUAAAGUCGUAGAAUGCUGUAUAUAGGCCUCUGUGCCUUUAAAUACAAAACAACUUUCAACAACGGAUCUCUUGGCUCUCGCAUCGAUGAAGAACGCAGCGAAAUGCGAUAAGUAAUGUGAAUUGCAGAAUUCAGUGAAUCAUCGAAUCUUUGAACGCACCUUGCGCUCCUUGGUAUUCCGAGGAGCAUGCCUGUUUGAGUGUCAUUAAAUUAUCAACUUCAUUAUCUUUUGCGAGUUAAUGAGGCUUGGAUAUUGGAAGUUGCUGGCUUCUCUGAAAUCAGCUCUUCUUAAAUAUAUUAGCAGAACCUUUGCUGUGUAUCUUUGGUAUGAUAAUUAUCUAUAUCAUAGACAUUCAGUGCCCUUCAUUGGGAAGGUUUCGCUUCUAAUCGUCCAUUUGGACAACAUUUGACAAUUUGACCUCAAAUCAGGUAGGAUUACCCGCUGA